GAUGAACGCUGGCGGCGUGCCUAAUACAUGCAAGUCGAGCGAACAGACGAGUAGCUUGCUUUUCUGACGUUAGCGGCGGACGGGUGAGUAACACGUGGAUAACCUACCUAUAAGACUGGUAUAACUUCGGGAAACCGGAGCUAAUACCGGAUAAUAUUUUGAACCGCAUGGUUCAAUAGUGAAAGACGGUUUUGCUGUCACUUAUAGAUGGAUCCGCGCUGCAUUAGCUAGUUGGUAAGGUAACGGCUUACCAAGGCAACGAUGCAUAGCCGACCUGAGAGGGUGAUCGGCCACACUGGAACUGAGACACGGUCCAGACUCCUACGGGAGGCAGCAGUAGGGAAUCUGCCGCAAUGGGCGAAAGCCUGACGGAGCAACGCCGCGUGAGUGAUGAAGGUCUUCGGAUCGUAAAACUCUGUUAUUAGGGAAGAACAAAUGUGUAAGUAACUGUGCACAUCUUGACGGUACCUAAUCAGAAAGCCACGGCUAACUACGUG
rnacentral:rRNA from 1 species